GUGUCAGCAGCCGCGGUAAUACGAGGGGUGCAAGCGUUAUUCGGAUUCAUUGGGCGUAAAGGGUGCGUAGACGACUUAUUAAGUCAACUGUUAAAUUCUCCGGCCUAACUGGAGAUCUGCGGUAGAAACUGAUAGGAUAGAGGGUGGAAGAGAGAAGUGGAAUUCUCGGAGUAGCGGUAAAAUGCGUAGAUCUCGAGAGGAACACCGAUGGCGAAGGCAGCUUCUUGGUCCAUACCUGACGUUGAGGCACGAAAGCGUGGGGAGCAAACAGGAUUAGAUACCCUGGUAGUCCACGCUGUAAACGAUGAUCACUAGACGUUAACUCUGCUUGCAGAGUAAGUGUCGUAGCUAACGCGAUAAGUGAUCCGCCUGGGGAGUACGGUCGCAAGACUAAA
rnacentral:rRNA from 1 species